rnacentral:rRNA from 1 species
CCUACGGGGGGCAGCAGUGGGGAAUAUUGCGCAAUGGGCGAAAGCCUGACGCAGCGACGCCGCGUGAGGGAUGAAGGUCUUCGGAUCGUAAACCUCUGUCAGCAGGGAAGAACGGUCACUGUGCUAAUCAGCAGUGAAUUGACGGUACCUGCAAAGGAAGCACCGGCUAACUCCGUGCCAGCAGCCGCGGUAAUACGGAGGGUGCGAGCGUUAAUCGGAAUUACUGGGCGUAAAGCGCUCGUAGGCGGUAUGUCAAGUCAAGGGUGAAAUCCCCGCGCUCAACGUGGGAACUGCCUUUGAAACUGGCAAACUGGAGGGUGUUAGAGGAUAGUGGAAUUCCAGGUGUAGGAGUGAAAUGCGUAGAUAUCUGGAGGAACAUCAGUGGCGAAGGCGACUAUCUGGCACAUCACUGACGCUGAGGAGCGAAAGCGUGGGUAGCAAACAGGAUUAGAUACCCUGGUAGUC